UUGAAGAGUUUGAUCAUGGCUCAGAUUGAACGCUGGCGGCAGGCCUAACACAUGCAAGUCGGGCGGUAGCACAGAGAGCUUGCUCUCGGGUGACGAGCGGCGGACGGGUGAGUAAUGUCUGGGAAACUGCCUGAUGGAGGGGGAUAACUACUGGAAACGGUAGCUAAUACCGCAUAACGUCGCAAGACCAAAGAGGGGGACCUUCGGGCCUCUUGCCAUCAGAUGUGCCCAGAUGGGAUUAGCUAGUAGGUGGGGUAACGGCUCACCUAGGCGACGAUCCCUAGCUGGUCUGAGAGGAUGACCAGCCACACUGGAACUGAGACACGGUCCAGACUCCUACGGGAGGCAGCAGUGGGGAAUAUUGCACAAUGGGCGCAAGCCUGAUGCAGCCAUGCCGCGUGUAUGAAGAAGGCCUUCGGGUUGUAAAGUACUUUCAGCGGGGAGGAAGGUGUUGUGGUUAAUAACCACAGCAAUUGACGUUACCCGCAGAAGAAGCACCGGCUAACUCCGUGCCAGCAGCCGCGGUAAUACGGAGGGUGCAAGCGUUAAUCGGAAUUACUGGGCGUAAAGCGCACGCAGGCGGUCUGUCAAGUCGGAUGUGAAAUCCCCGGGCUCAACCUGGGAACUGCAUUCGAAACUGGCAGGCUAGAGUCUUGUAGAGGGGGGUAGAAUUCCAGGUGUAGCGGUGAAAUGCGUAGAGAUCUGGAGGAAUACCGGUGGCGAAGGCGGCCCCCUGGACAAAGACUGACGCUCAGGUGCGAAAGCGUGGGGAGCAAACAGGAUUAGAUACCCUGGUAGUCCACGCCGUAAACGAUGUCGACUUGGAGGUUGUGCCCUUGAGGCGUGGCUUCCGGAGCUAACGCGUUAAGUCGACCGCCUGGGGAGUACGGCCGCAAGGUUAAAACUCAAAUGAAUUGACGGGGGCCCGCACAAGCGGUGGAGCAUGUGGUUUAAUUCGAUGCAACGCGAAGAACCUUACCUACUCUUGACAUCCAGAGAACUUAGCAGAGAUGCUUUGGUGCCUUCGGGAACUCUGAGACAGGUGCUGCAUGGCUGUCGUCAGCUCGUGUUGUGAAAUGUUGGGUUAAGUCCCGCAACGAGCGCAACCCUUAUCCUUUGUUGCCAGCGGUUAGGCCGGGAACUCAAAGGAGACUGCCAGUGAUAAACUGGAGGAAGGUGGGGAUGACGUCAAGUCAUCAUGGCCCUUACGAGUAGGGCUACACACGUGCUACAAUGGCGCAUACAAAGAGAAGCGACCUCGCGAGAGCAAGCGGACCUCAUAAAGUGCGUCGUAGUCCGGAUUGGAGUCUGCAACUCGACUCCAUGAAGUCGGAAUCGCUAGUAAUCGUAGAUCAGAAUGCUACGGUGAAUACGUUCCCGGGCCUUGUACACACCGCCCGUCACACCAUGGGAGUGGGUUGCAAAAGAAGUAGGUAGCUUAACCUUCGGGAGGGCGCUUACCACUUUGUGAUUCAUGACUGGGGUGAAGUCGUAACAAGGUAACCGUAGGGGAACCUGCGGUUGGAUCACCUCCUU
rnacentral:rRNA from 1 species